UACGUAGGGUGCGAGCGUUAAUCGGAAUUACUGGGCGUAAAGCGCUCGUAGGCGGUUUGUCGCGUCUGCUGUGAAAACUGGGGGCUCAACCCCCAGCCUGCAGUGGGUACGGGCAAACUAGAGUGCGGUAGGGGAGAUUGGAAUUCCUGGUGUAGCGGUGGAAUGCGCAGAUAUCAGGAGGAACACCGAUGGCGAAGGCAGAUCUCUGGGCCUUACCUGACGCUGAGGAGCGAAAGCGUGGGUAGCGAACAGG
rnacentral:rRNA from 1 species